UUAGGGCUGAGAAGGCUUUAUGUACUAAAGAUUGCAUUGUACCUGAUUGGGGAUUCAUUAACAGUUAUGAUUGCCAUGAGCUUGGCAGAUCUGGUUUUGUUGGAAUUGUGAUGCUAUUGAGGUAAAAGUUGUCCAUAGCUCUGAUCAGGUAAUUCAUUAUAUCUUGUGAAAUCACUAUUUUUUUUUUUUUUUUUUUGAUAAGUACAUCUUGUGAAAUCACUAUGGUUAAUGGGGUAGUCUUUUUCUGCUUCUUUCACUUAUGGUUACAAUAAUGGAGAUACUAGAAGACAACUAUGGUCUGAUUUAUGUAACCUGAAAUGUCUUAUGUCUAGUGGGUAAGAAGCCUUGGGUGCUUGGUUGUUAUUUUAAACUGUGUAAGGGGUGCGGAGGAGAGAUUUAGGGUAAGAAAUCUUCUCUGUUUGAGGAUGAGUUUUGUCAAGGAUUUCAGGAGCUACAAGUGUUAGAUAUCAUCCAUACAUUGGUGCAAUAAGAGGAAGGAUGAUCAAUUUCUAGACAGGAUGUUAAACAGGGUGUUUUUUAAUUGUUAUUGGUUUGACUGUCUUCCCCAUACUAGGGUUGGAUUCAUUUUGCCAGGUGUUUCAGAUUAUGCUGCUGCUUAUAUGUCUUUACAUAAUGUCAUCAGUUAUGGCCCCAAGCCAUUCAAGUUCUUUGAUUUCUGGACAUAACAUCCUAAGUUUCUCGCACCAGAAAGCAAGCAGCAACUAAGGGAGUAGGGAACAGCAAGCAUAUGCUGAUAACUAGUGCUAUUUGGAGCAAAGAAAUUAAUGGUGUUCCCAUGUUUAGAUAUUGCAGGAAGACAAAGUCGCUUAAGGUUGAGCUGAAGAAGUUGAACCAGGAAUUUUUUGGUGGUCUUCCAUUAAAAGUCCAAAAAGCUAGAGAGGAUCUAGAGGAUGUACAAAGAAGACUUCUCCUCCAAGGUCAGCAGUCACUAUUACAGAAAGAUAGGGAGGAGCUUUACUGUUUCAUUGCUUUAAGUAAAGCUGGCCCCAAAACAGCUAACUUCCAUGAAAUUCUGAAUGUUAGAAAUGCAAAAAAUCAAAUUAGGUGCUUAUAUGAUGAAAAAAGGAGGAGAGUCCAAGAGUUGGCUAAUAGUUUCUACCAGAUAUUGUUUGGGUGUCCUGCAAGGACAGAUGAAAGCAAAUUGGAGAGCCUUUCACAGCUCAUACCAGAUAGUAUUCCUGAGGAUUAAAAACAAGUUCUUCAAAGGGAUGUUACUGUUGAUGAAAUCAAGUGGUCUAUAUUUUCAAUGAAACAGGACAAAGCCCUUGGUCCAGAUGGCUAUUCUGCUCAUUUUUUCAAGCAUGUGUGGGGAGGUUAUUAGAGGGGAUAUGCUUGCUGCUGUCAACUCCUUUUCCUCAGGCUCAGGAAUUGGUGAACGGCUAUCAUAAAAAGGGACCAGGUAGAUGUGAUAUUAAAGUACACCUAAUGAAGGCUAAUGACUCGGUGGACUGGAAAAUUAUUCUAAGGUGCUUGUCUGCCUGUGGUAUUCCUGAAAAAUUUGUGCAAUGAGUUGAGGUUUGCAUCACUUCACUUAAGUUCUCUGUUUUCUUUAAUGGUAGUCUUGUGGGGUAUUUCAAGGGUGGCAAAGGAUUGAGACAGCUGACAGCGUGAUCCUUUGUACCCCUAUUUGUUUGUUAUCACUAUGGAGGCUUUAUGAAGCUCAUGAUGUCUAAGGCUACAAAAGCAGUAGGCUACAAGUUUCAUCCUUGAUGUGAAAAGCUCCAACUGACCAUUUUAUGUUGGAUACUUGGACGAAUUCAAAAUUCCUUCAUGUCUUCAAGCCGAUAUCGGCAAGACUGAAGCCUUCUUUAGUGGGGAAUUUGAAGGUACAAAGGACCAGAUAUUAUCUUUCUUGUGGUUUAUUGAAGCCCAACUGCAUCUUAGAUAUUUAGGCUUGCAUUUGAUAUAUGGAAAACUGUUUAGUAGUGACUGCAAGCCUAUAAUUGAAAAGAUUUCAGCCAGAUAAAUUCCUGGGGUGCCAGAAAACUUUCUUUUGCAGAGAGGUUACAACUCAUACAAUGAUACAAUCUAUGCUCUGUGGUAUACAAGUUGAAUGAACUAAUAUCUUCAUUCUUCCAGUUAAAGUCUUCAAAGAGAUCAAAAGGUGCUUCAACAGAUUUUUAUGGACAGGUGCUGGUUCUAUGGUCCCUAGCAUCAGAGUUGCAUGAGAUGUGGAUUUCUCUCCUAGAUCAGGAGGAUCGGGGCUUAAAAAGUUCCAGGACUGGAAUAGGGCUGAUGACUGAUGUUUCUUGGCAUAUAUGGGAUCUCUUUACAGUGGCAGGUUCCUUGUGGGUCGCAUGGGUGCACACCUACCUCUUAAAAAGGCAAAAGCUUUUGGUAUGUCCACAUACCCAAUAGUUGCUUAUGGGGUUGGAGGAAGAUACUAAAGCUUAGAGACAUGGUUAAACCUUUGUUUAGCCAUUCUAUUGGUAAUGGAGUAAGAACUAUACUUUGGAAUGGUAACUGGCAUCCUAAAGGUGCCUCGUUUUCAGAGUUUGAAUUCAGAUUGGUAUAUGAAGCAAUGAGUAGUUAUGAUGCCAAAUUCUCGAGUAUUCUUCAAGAUGAUAACUUGAUCUAUCCCCCAGAUAGAUCAGAUGAGGUGAUAGUUUUUCAAGCUGGUCUUUCACAAGUUAGAAUAACAGGUGUUGAUUCUGUUCACUGGAUUCUCUCUAAAUCUAGUAUGUUCUCAUAUUCUUCUGUUUGGAAUAAAAUUCGAAUUAAACAUGAGAUAGUAAAUGGAGAUAAACUGAUUUGGCAACCUCUUUGUAUUCCUAAACACUCUUUUAUAAGUUGGCUAUCGCUUCUUAAACAGGGAUAUGAGGG